rnacentral:rRNA from 1 species
AGAGUUUGAUCCUGGCUCAGGACGAACGCUGGCAGCGUGUCUUACACAUCCAAGUCGGGCGGAGUCUGUUUUUGUGUAGCAAUACACUUUACAGAUCGAGCGGCAAACGGGUGAGUAAUAGAUAGGUAAUCUACCGCGAUGAUCGGGAUACCCCCUUGAAGGAGGGAUCAAUACCGGAUAAUAUCGGAUUAAUAAUUUUAGUCCGAAGAAAGGUGACGCAAGUUACCACAUUGUGAUGAGCCUAUCUCCUAUCAGCCAGUUGGUGAGGUAAUGGCUCACCAAGGCUAUGACGGGUAGCUGGUCUGAGAGGAUGGUCAGCCACACUGGAACUGAGAAACUGUCCAGACUCCUACGGGAGGCAGCAGUGGGGAAUCUUAGGCAAUGGGCGAAAGCCUGGCCUAGCGACGCUGCGUGGACGAUGAAGGUCUUUGGAUUGUAAAGUCCUUUUCCUGAAGAUGAAGGAUGUGAAGUAAAAUAUGCUUUGCAUUUUGACAGUAUUCAGGGAAUAAGCCCCAGCCAACUACGUGCCAGCAGCUGCGGUAAUACGUAGGGGGCAAGCGUUGUCCGGAAUCACUGGGUGUAAAGGGUGUCAGGCUUCUUAUUAAGUUGAUUGUGAAAUCCCGAAGCUCAACUUCGGAACCGCAGUCAAUACUGGAAAGACAGAGGGUAUGUGAGGUAAGCGGAAUUCCCGGUGUAGCGGUGAAAUGCGUAGAUAUCGGGAGGAACACCAGCGGCGAAGGCGGCUUACUAGCAUAUUCCUGACGCUCAUACACGAAAGCUAGGGGAGCAAACAGGACUAGAUACCCUGGUAGUCCUAGCUGUAAACGAUGAAUACUAGGUGUUGGGGGAGUAAUUCCCUCGGUGCCGAAGCUAACGCGUUAAGUAUUCCACCUGGAAAGUACGGUCGCAAGUCUGAAACUCAAAGGAAUUGACGGGGGCCCGCACAAGCAGCGAGGCAUGUGGUUUAAUUCGAGGCUACACGUAGAACCUUACCUGGGCUUGACAUGUAUCUGAAAGAGUUAAGAAACUAGCUCCCUCUAUGUAGCAAUACAUAGACAUUUACACAGGUGGUGCAUGGUUGUCGUCAGCUCGUGCCGUGAGGUGUAAGGUUAAGUCCUUGAACGAGCGCAACCCUUGCCGUUAUUUGCGAUAAGUCUUUGACUUAGCACUAUAACGGAACCGCUAUCGACAAGAUAGAGGAAGGCGAGGAUGACGUCAAAUCAUCACGCCCCUUAUGUCCAGGGCCACACACAUGCGACAAUGGCUGGUACAACGGGAUGCAAUAGGGUAACCUGGAGCAAAUCCCAAAAACCAGCCCCAGUACGGAUCGAGGACUGAAACCCGUCCUCGUGAAGAUGGAGUUGCUAGUAAACGCAGGUCAGCUAUACUGCGUUGAAUACGUUCCCGGGCCUUGUACACACCGCCCGUCACACCACCCGAGCUGGAUGUACCCGAAGACACAUACUCUAACUCGCAAGAGAGGAGUGUGCCCAAGGUGUGUUCAGUAAGGAGGGUGAAGUCGGAACAAGGCA